GUUUUUCAGAAGCUGAGAUUCUAAAGUGGCGCCGUCGUCUCCUUCCUGGUGCUCCUCUGUUUGCUUGUGUUCAUCCUUCCCUCAGGAACACACAGAGCAGACAGUGACGCAGACAUCGUGAGGCUGCUGCUGCGACACAAAUGGCAUCUGCUGAGGAAACACACACGGCUAAUGCUGAAGAAACCAGGCGCUGGAGGCAAAUUUACCGUUGGGGACUGUGAGAGCAGCCACAGAAAGGCACCGGCUUUACUGCUCAACGUAUGACCCACAAGUCAAGACAGAUUACGUCUGAUUGGAUUCGCCAAUGGGGAGUCUGACCUACAAUCUGCUGCAUUCGCCGUCUCCCUGGGCAAAGGUUUCCAUGGGAACAGGCCCUGGGCUCCUUUAAUCUGUUGUUUUGCAGCCCUCACUCAUCUGGAGGCAGGCUGGAUUCCUUUUUGUCAGGCCUGUAUUCUUCUGCUCUAUUUCCUCCCUUAGCUCUCCCUCCUCACUCUCUCUAGUUCCCCCCCGUUCUCUCUUUCGUACACUCCAGUCUCGUGUUAUAAAAUGGCUCAGACAGAUCAGCUGUAGACUCUCUGCGGAGACUUGG